rnacentral:rRNA from 1 species
CCCUUAGAUGUUCUGGGCCGCACGCGCGCUACACUGAUGCAUUCAACGAGUCCAACCUUGACCGAGAGGUCCGGGUAAUCUUUGAAACUGCAUCGUGAUGGGGCUAGAUUAUUGCAAUUAUUAAUCUUCAACGAGGAAUGCCUAGUAAGCGUGAUUCAUCAAAUCGCGUUGAUUACGUCCCUGCCCUUUGUACACACCGCCCGUCGCUCCUACCGAUUGAGUGUGUUGGUGAGGAGUUUGGAUUGGCCUCGGAAGGUGGUUCGCCACCGUCCGUAGCUGAGAAGUUCUCCAAACCGCCCCACUUUGAGGAAGGAGAAGUCGUAACA